UUUUUCAUCUUUCAUGUUUUUCCCAAGUGCACACAUUUUUUCAUCUUUCAUCAGUUUCAUGUUUUUCCCAAGUGCACACAUUUUUUCAUCUUUCAUCAGUUUCAUGAUUUUCCCAAGUGCACACAUUUUUUCAUCUUUCAUGUUUUUCCCAAGUGCACACAUUUUUUUUCAUCUUUCAUCAGUUUCAUGUUUUUCCCAAGUGCACACAUUUUUUCAUCUUUCAUCAGUUUCAUGUUUUUCCCAAGUGCACACAUUUUUUUCAUCUUUCAUGUUUUUCCCAAGUGCACCACACAUCGAAGAGUGUUUUUCACAAGUGCACACAUUUUUUCACCUUUCAUGUUUUUCAAUUGGGAUGCAAGUCCUGUUCCUUUCCCCAGUCACACCUAUGUAAUUUUUGCAUGUAAGUUGUCUGUUUUUGUGAUUAUUAUAUCGUGCUCUAGUAUAUUGUGACAAAUCAUUAAAAUUAAGUGCGCAUUUCUGAUUAUUAGCUAAAUUCGCUGAUUACAUAACUAUAUAGUAAAAUGAUGGCAUUCAUCAUGCCACGAAAAUUGCGUGUUAACUUUGUUGUAAUAAUACUUUUAUUGGAAAGCUAGACAUGCAUCCAAGCAAUUGUCAUCGUAAAAUGUGAAAUAUUUUAGCCGAACAAGUUGAAAAGCGUUUUCUGAAACGCUAGCGUGUUCAAUUUGGUGAACGCAGAACAAGAACAUUCAUCCUGACAAGAGAUUAAUUCUUAGAGAUUGACCACAAGUCUACAGGUAAAUUUAAAAUACUCAUUAAUAAUUCAUGCAUAAUCAAUGUGCAGGCGACGCCAUGGUUGACCAGGCCAUUCCCAUGGAUGGAGGAGUGCUGAGGCAGGGGCAGACUGGUGUAGUUAA
rnacentral:lncRNA from 1 species